rnacentral:rRNA from 1 species
AACGGACGCUGGCGGCAUGCCUAACACAUGCAAGUCGAACGAGACCUUCGGGUCUAGUGGCGCACGGGUGCGUAACGCGUGGGAACCUGCCCUUAGGUUCGGAAUAACUCCCCGAAAGGGGUGCUAAUACCGGAUAAUGUCUUCGGACCAAAGAUUUAUCGCCUUUGGAUGGGCCCGCGUUGGAUUAGCUAGUUGGUAGGGUAAAAGCCUACCAAGGCGACGAUCCAUAGCUGGUCUGAGAGGAUGAUCAGCCACACUGGGACUGAGACACGGCCCAGAAUCCUACGGGAGGCAGGAGUGGGGAAUAUUGGACAAUGGGCGAAAGCCUGAUCCAGCAAUGCCGCGUGAGUGAUGAAGGCCUUAGGGUUGUAAAGCUCUUUUACCCGGGAUGAUAAUGACGGUACCGGGAGAAUAAGCUCCGGCUAACUCCGUG